rnacentral:sRNA from 2 species
CGCUUUUCUUUAGUUGAUGGCUUUGAGAACAUACGUCUUUCAUAGCCUAAAUUAUAGACUUAUUAUUCUCCCCCGGUUUGAUCCGACUUGUCACUUGCGAACCUUGUCACAGCCCAGGAACCAUACCUGCAAACGUAUAUCCAAAACGCUAAUUUCGUAGCACCCCGAUUUUUCGCAAUCGCAGAGCACGGAAUAUGGCCCGACAAGCUUUAUCAGGAAACGGCCAUGAUAGCGUGUCGAAUGCGACACCAUCCGAGCCCGAACACAUGUCCGGCGCCGUGGCCAUAGGAGAAAAUCAAAAAGACGAGGACGAAGAUUAUAACUCCGAAGAGGAUUCCGAUUUUGACGUCAACGCACCCGCUGAGAGUGAUGCGGAAGAGGAAGAGGGCGGGGACGAUGGCGAUGGCGAUGGUUCAUAUGCUAUUGGCGGUCGGCCUCGGAAACGGAGGAAGUUGUCGCCUGAUCCGGAUGAUGGGGAUGCUAUUGUGGAUGCUGAGUUUGAUUCCGGUGACGAGGCUACGAUAAGAAUUGGGAAGGAGA